UAGAGUUGUUAAUAAAUAUAUGUACAAGCAUACCUUGGAUACAUUGCAGGUUCAGUUCCAGAUCACCACAAUAAAGUAAAUAUUGCAAUAAAGGGAGUAAUAUGACUCUUUUGGUUUCCCAGUGCAUAUAAAAGUCAUGUUUAUACUAUAGUAGUCUAUUGAUUGUGCGGUAACAUUAUGUCUAAAACAAUUUACAUACAUUAAUUAAAAACUACUUUAGGCCGGCCGGGCGUGGUAUCUCAUGCCUGUAAUCCCAGCAUUUUGGGAGGCUAAGGUAGGUGGAUCACGAGGUC